rnacentral:rRNA from 1 species
UACGAAGGGGGCUAGCGUUGCUCGGAAUGACUGGGCGUAAAGGGCGCGCAGGCGGCUGAUCAAGUCAGAUGUGAAAGCCCCGGGCUCAACCUGGGAAUUGCAUUUGAGACUGCUCUGCUCGGGUGCGGAAGAGGGAAGCGGAAUUUCCGGUGUAGCGGUGAAAUGCGUAGAUAUCGGGAGGAACACCUGUGGCGAAAGCGGCGCACUGGACCAUAACUGACGCUGAGGCGCGAAAGCUAGGGGAGCAAACAGG